CGCAGCCGAGCAGCCAUGCCGCGUGUGUGAAGAAGGCCUUCGGGUUGUAAAGCACUUUCAGUCGUGAGGAAGGUGGUGUAGUUAAUAGCUGCAUUAUUUGACGUUAGCGACAGAAGAAGCACCGGCUAACUCCGUGCCAGCAGCCGCGGUAAUACGGAGGGUGCGAGCGUUAAUCGGAAUUACUGGGCGUAAAGCGCAUGCAGGUGGUUUGUUAAGUCAGAUGUGAAAGCCCGGGGCUCAACCUCGGAAUAGCAUUUGAAACUGGCAGACUAGAGUACUGUAGAGGGGGGUAGAAUUUCAGGUGUAGCGGUGAAAUGCGUAGAGAUCUGAAGGAAUACCGGUGGCGAAGGCGGCCCCCUGGACAGAUACUGACACUCAGAUGCGAAAGCGUGGGGAGCAAACAGGAUUAGAUACCCUGGUAGUCCACGCCGUAAACGAUGUCUACUUGGAGGUUGUGGCCUUGAGCCGUGGCUUUCGGAGCUAACGCGUUAAGUAGACCGCCUGGGGAGUACGGUCGCAAGAUUAAAACUCAAAUGAAUUGACGGGGGCCCGCACAAGCGGUGGAGCAUGUGGUUUAAUUCGAUGCAACGCGAAGAACCUUACCUACUCUUGACAUCCAGAGAACUUUCCAGAGAUGGAUUGGUGCCUUCGGGAACUCUGAGACAGGUGCUGCAUGGCUGUCGUCAGCUCGUGUUGUGAAAUGUUGGGUUAAGUCCCGCAACGAGCGCAACCCUUAUCCUUGUUUGCCAGCGAGUAAUGUCGGGAACUCCAGGGAGACUGCCGGUGAUAAACCGGAGGAAGGUGGGGACGACGUCAAGUCAUCAUGGCCCUUACGAGUAGGGCUACACACGUGCUACAAUGGCGCAUACAGAGGGCAGCAAGCUAGCGAUAGUGAGCGAAUCCCAAAAAGUGCGUCGUAGUCCGGAUUGGAGUCUGCAACUCGACUCCAUGAAGUCGGAAUCGCUAGUAAUCGUGGAUCAGAAUGCCACGGUGAAUACGUUCCCGGGCCUUGUACACACCGCCCGUCACACCAUGGGAGUGGGCUGCAAAAGAAGUAGGUAGUUUAACCUUCGGGAGGACGCUUACCACUUUGUGUUCAUGACUGGGUGAGCGU
rnacentral:rRNA from 1 species